rnacentral:rRNA from 1 species
UACGUAGGGGGCUAGCGUUGUCCGGAAUCAUUGGGCGUAAAGAGCUCGUAGGCGGCUCAUUGCGUCAACCGUGAAAACCUGCAGCUUAACUGUGGGCUUGCGGUUGAUACGGGUGGGCUGGAGUUCGGUAGGGGAGACUGGAAUUCCUGGUGUAGCGGUGAAAUGCGCAGAUAUCAGGAGGAACACCGAUGGCGAAGGCAGGUCUCUGGGCCACUACUGACGCUGAGAAGCGAAAGCAUGGGGAGCGAACAGG